rnacentral:snoRNA from 1 species
CUGUGAAUAGUUUCACUGUUCUUUUACGGUAAGAAUCCAGGCAGAUUAACAUUCACUAUAAAAAAAACUAUCCAUGGGUCUGUCCUCAGACCCUGUUCAUUUCCUACAUAGGUCUAGUCUUCUAAAUUUUGGUGAUGGGG